AGACCCGAAACCCGGUGAUCUAGCCAUGGGCAGGUUGAAGGUUGGGUAACACUAACUGGAGGACCGAACCGACUAAUGUUGAAAAAUUAGCGGAUGACCUGUGGCUGGGGGUGAAAGGCCAAUCAAACCGGGAGAUAGCUGGUUCUCCCCGAAAGCUAUUUAGGUAGCGCCUCGUGAAUUCAUCUCCGGGGGUAGAGCACUGUUUCGGCUAGGGGGCCAUCCCGGCUUACCAACCCGAUGCAAACUGCGAAUACCGGAGAAUGUUAUCACGGGAGACACACGGCGGGUGCUAACGUCCGUCGUGAAGAGGGAAACAACCCAGACCGCCAGCUAAGGUCCCAAAGUCAUGGUUAAGUGGGAAACGAUGUGGGAAGGCCCAGACAGCCAGGAUGUUGGCUUAGAAGCAGCCAUCAUUUAAAGAAAGCGUAAUAGCUCACUGGUCGAGUCGGCCUGCGCGGAAGAUGUAACGGGGCUAAACCAUGCACCGAAGCUGCGGCAGCGAACGUAUCACCCAAGACAACUUUACGGAGUUGACGAUUGACGGAGCGAAGCGACGUCAAAGCGUUCAUUAAAGUCGAGUUGGCUUAGGGAUACGUUCGUUGGGUAGGGGAGCGUUCUGUAAGCCUGUGAAGGUGUGUCGUGAGGCAUGCUGGAGGUAUCAGAAGUGCGAAUGCUGACAUAAGUAACGAUAAAGCGGGUGAAAAGCCCGCUCGCCGGAAGACCAAGGGUUCCUGUCCAACGUUAAUCGGGGCAGGGUGAGUCGACCCCUAAGGCGAGGCCGAAAGGCGUAGUCGAUGGGAAACGGGUUAAUAUUCCCGUACUUGGUGUUACUGCGAAGGGGGGACGGAGAAGGCUAUGUUGGCCGGGCGACGGUUGUCCCGGUUUAAGCGUGUAGGUGUGUGUUCCAGGUAAAUCCGGUUCACUUUAACACUGAGGCGUGAUGACGAGGCACUACGGUGCUGAAGCAACAAAUGCCCUGCUUCCAGGAAAAGCCUCUAAGCAUCAGGUAACAUCA
rnacentral:rRNA from 2 species